rnacentral:rRNA from 1 species
UACGUAGGGGGCAAGCGUUGUCCAGAUUUAUUGGGCGUAAAGAGCGUGUAGGCGGCUUGGUAGGUCUUGCGUCAAAACCUGAGGCUCAACCUCAGUUCGCGUGGGAAACCAUCUAGCUAGAGUCCGGAAGAGGAGAACGGAAUUCCCAGUGUAGCGGUGAAAUGCGCAGAUAUUGGGAAGAACACCAGUGGCGAAGGCGGUUCUCUGGGACGGGUACUGACGCUGAGACGCGAAAGCGUGGGGAGCGAACAGG